AGAGUUUAAAUAUAUAUUUUUUGGAGCGGUUAAAAAACCUCUCUCCUAUAAAAAGAUAAUUCCCUCCAAUUUAGUCUAAAAAACUUCCCUCCAAUUUACGUCGAUCGGUGGGAAAGCUCAACCUCAUUCCACCAUUUGCCGAAAGCGCUUCGUCUCCUCGAUAUCUCAUCAAACCAAUGUCCACACCGAUCGCAAGUUGCAAUAAGCCUUCUCCUGGUGUAAUCGCCUCCCCGGUCGUUGGAUUUAUCACUUCGGAGCAUGAUUUCGACAUCGAGGAACAACACAAUUAAGCUUCGGUCGUUUUUUGAUAAUUUCUCAUGUAUCUACAAGACUCACAAUAUUAAUCGAUCGAAGGCCAAUGCUACCACACUUGUCUGUUAGAUUAACAUAGCCAUAGGGCAUGAAGAACAAUUUCAUCCCUUUUACAAUAGCUAGUACAUAUAGGUUAGAUUAUAAGUUUGGUAUGUCGACUUUUAGGAUUGUUUUAAUUUAUCUCUCUAUUCAAUUGUGUGUCUUAUGUGUGAUUUACAUGUUUAUCAAGCAUCUCGAUUAAUUUUUGAGAUAUUUUUUGAAGUUUAAGGAUUUGUUAUGACAAUUUAAGAGCUUAUGACUAAGCUUACAAUUCAAUUCUAACCACACAUGGAUCAUCAUCUACAACCUUCUUUUCCCAAAGAUGACAACCAGUUGAAAUCAUGCUUGAGCAAAAGCUCUUCAUAAUAAUUAGGUCGAAUCAUCGACCUUUAGAAUGAUAACCGAAGCGAUUCUCUUUUGAAUUGCGCUUAGAACAAGUGAAGAGAUGGGGUAUCAUAAAAGUGAAAUGAUUGCUUGAGGGUAAUUUAAAAGUGAAUUUAUCAGCUCGAAGCCAAUUCUUCAUUUCAUCAAGAGAAUUCUUGUCAUAACGUCGAAUGAGCCGAUCUUCAACAAGGCUCUUUCUACUAGAAUAUUCUUCAUUAUUGGUUUGAGCAUCGUCUUAGCUACAAAAUUCUAGUUUUGAUCAGAUUCUCAUUGACUUUUUGGUUCCAAUUAGAAGGCAAGAAAAUAUGCUAUCCAGUGGCAAUUUAGGAGGAGAGAAUAAACCUGAAAAGUGAUCUUCCUGCACCUAUCCUUUUACUAAGAUAUAAAUUCUAAUACGCCACCUUGUCCUCCUUUGAGCGACAUUUUUAACCGGGAAUACUUCAUGUAAGUGAAAGACUAUCCAAAUUUUGCAUCCAAUAAAAUACCUUUAGAAAAAAAUGGAUUUAACAGGGUGUUGGUUUGUAUUAUAAUAGUUCGUGGAAGGUAGGAUAUAAGAUCGGAAGUGAAGGUGAAUAGAAACUAAUAAACAUUAUAAUAAAUAUUAAAAACUAUAGCAAAUAAUGAUUUGAAAUAGUAAUAUUGUAGUUGGUUGUAGAUUAUAAUAGUUGAAAACAUCAACUAUUUUAAUUGAAAAACUAAACAUUGAGUGGACUAAAAUAGUUUGCUCGAAAAAAGUCAAGUUGGAAAUCAAACACUUUCCUAUAGGUUAUGGAAAACUAAAUGGAAAGGUUUAAUUUCCAAGAAUCUUCACAUGUGCCUAGCCAGUGUAGCAUGAUUAAAUUAAUGGAAUUCCCUGUGAGUUAAUUUUGAGAUAUUAAGUUCAAGAUUUAUGGAAAGUACGAUAAUUAAAAUUGGACAAUUAAAGUAUAAAUAAAAAAAUUGAACAAAUUUUCAAAUAUGGAGACUAAAUGGUAUUUUUCAAAAUUUAACUUUAUGUCGAAUAUAUUUAUUAAUUUAAAUGGUGAAUACACCGGCAAGUUAUAGAAUCUAAAAAUUGAAAGUCGGAAAACACACGAUCGAAAAUUCAAAUACAUAUUUAAUACAAACUUGAAAGUUUCAUAGGCGAAACCUGUAGUUCAAUCUAUUCUUUUAAACUUAUUAGUAAAGUAUUGUUUUAAAAUUAAAGUACAUAUUGUUCUGCAGACAUAAUACCAUUUCUGUAAUAUUUUAGGGUUUCUUGGUUUGACUUUCAA